rnacentral:rRNA from 1 species
AGAGUUUGAUCAUGGCUCAGGACGAACGCUGGCGGCGUGCUUAACACAUGCAAGUCGAACGAAGCAAUCUGAGUAGUUUACUAUGAGGAUUGACUGAGUGGCGGACGGGUGAGUAACGCGUGAACAAUCUGCCUAUCAGAGGGGGACAACACUUAGAAAUAGGUGCUAAUACCGCAUGAGACCACAGUGCCGCAUGGCACAGGGGUAAAAGAUUCAUCGCUGAUAGAUGAGUUCGCGUAUCAUUAGCUAGUUGGCGGGGUAACGGCCCACCAAGGCGACGAUGAUUAGCCGGCCUGAGAGGGUGAACGGCCACACUGGAACUGAGACACGGUCCAGACUCCUACGGGAGGCAGCAGUGGGGAAUAUUGGGCAAUGGGCGCAAGCCUGACCCAGCAACGCCGCGUGGGGGAAGAAGGUUUUCGGAUUGUAAACCUCUGUCCUUGGGGACGAAAAAAAUGACGGUACCCAAGGAGGAAGCUCCGGCUAACUACGUGCCAGCAGCCGCGGUAAUACGUAGGGAGCAAGCGUUGUCCGGAAUUACUGGGCGUAAAGGGUGCGUAGGCGGCAUAUUAAGUCAGGUGUGAAAUA